rnacentral:lncRNA from 1 species
UGCAACUGCUCUGUCCUGCCUUCUCAGGUUCACUUCCCUCCUUCCCACUCCAGAAGGGAAAGGAACAGCCUGUUCCCUGAGCUCAGAGGGGAAGAAAUGACGGUUGGGGGAGCCGCUGUGUCCUUCUGUGGGGAGGAGUUCCCAGCAUAUUCCUGGAAGGUGUGGGAUGAAAAAGAAUCCACCUUUGAGUGUGCUGCUUCUGUGAUUCUGCCAUGUGUGCCUCGGAGCUGGGGAUGUGCUAGGAUGGGAGGAUGGUGUUGCCUUGAGAUUCCGGUGGUGAUGGAUGGAGAGGAGGUUGGAGCCUCUGGGGCUCCAUCAGAGCGGGAGUCAGCAUCCAGACAAGCGGAGGUGCACCCUUUGGCGUGCAUCCCUAAUGCUCCCCGGUGAGUAAAUUUCCAAGCCAUCAAGAAGAAAUACGGUUGUCUCUCCAGCGUUCCAACAGGACCAUUCCAACAUCACUUGAACGUAAGCUCAAUGAAAACUGGCCUUUUCCUAUGUUUGGUUCACUGCUGGGACCCGGCACCUAGGGAAGAACCUCUUCAAUAACAAUACUCAGUGGAUUUUCCUUAAAUUACUGAGACUGUGGAAGGCUGGUUGUGUUGGAGGUACUCUGCAAGGCAUUGGAAAUAUUGGGAAAGUAAAUCCAGGGUCCACAACCUCAUCAUCUACCAGGUAGGAAGAAAAAUAAACAGAAAAUCACAGUUUGUAACCUGUGCUCC